GAGUCUGUGUGGCUCAUGUUCGGCACACAGAAGUUGCCUGUCACUAAUUACGUGGGAUUUGAAAUGUACAACCGUGUUGGGCCUGCAGAUGUCAUUUCUAAUGCGCUAACUGUUCUGUUUGGGACAUAUGCUUUCCAUUCUCACCAAGUUGAAUAAUUGCUAUUUGUCCUCCAUGAUUUCAUGCCAUGUGCUUCUGCAUUAACAGUGACGGUAGGAUGCAACAAGCAUGAGUACCUGUUAAGUUCAACGUCGCAUGAGGAGUACUCGGAUGACGAGAUCUCAACCAAGAAAGAGAUGCACUGGAGACUUGGCCCAGAGAACCACGACGAUACUGUCCUGUAUGACUUUGAGAUGGCCUGUGAUGCCCAGGAGGAGAUACUGGUGGCGGUGGAAUUCAUCACCCAUGAUGCCCUGUCGAGAUCAAUAUCACACGAGGAGUACUCCGACGAUGAGAUAUCAACCAAGAAGGCGAUUUUGACUUUGAUAAUACUGUUCUGUAUGACUUUGACAUGGACCGUGAAGUGUCCUGUCGAACACACAGAUUCAGGUUUUGUAGUCUGGAUAGACCCUCUAUUGGCUGAUUGUGUGGUGUGUUGUGGCUUUUUUUCAAAUAUUUUUUUAAAUAUGUAAUGUCUAAAUAUCUUUAUGAAUUAAUAAAAUGGAUUAUUAUUAUUUGGGCUUUUAUUCAACAAUAUAUUAGAUCAAAUCCAGGCAAACUCUUAUUCUUGCAGUUAACCAAAAACAUUUGAUAAGAUUGACAAAUGUAAUAAGUCAUCUCUAAACAUGAUGUACACCUGGAGAUUACCCGACUACAAGAGACUACCUAGGAAAGCUAUUUUAAGGAUUGACCGUUUAAAAAAAAAAAAUCUAUUUAUUGGUUUUAAGUUUCUUUAUUGGCUCCUUCUGUAUCAUGCUUAUUUACACAGUACACUUAGCGACAGAAUAUGGAGAACGAACAGAGCUCAUCGUCAAGACGAUGUGAUUAAAUGUCAAUUAAAGUUAAUCUUUAACAUUACAAAUGUACAGUAGACAUACAGAUGUCCCCUGAUUUUUUUUUUUUAAAUGUUGGAUGCUUUUAAGGUGUACAUUAGGGGAAUUAUAAUCUGAGUUAAUUCAAGGAAAGUACAAUGAAGCACUUUGCUUUUGUUUUGGUGUGUUGUCUGCUCAACCCAUGUGGGGGGAAAAAAAAAAACGCUGAAAUAAAUGGCAAUAGGUAAAAAUAACCGCUCAACAGCAAUCCUUUUAAAGUGGAUCACAAAUCAAAUACUUAAGAUGAAAGCAGCAAAUAUAAAGUGAACUUUAUCUCAUUACUCAUAGAAAGCCGAUCUAAUUAAAUAAUCUUCCCAGAAUUCUAUUAAAAAAUAACCUCGGUCAUGGCUCCCGAAGUUUGUUGUUUUUGUAUUUAUUCUUGUCUUCGGUGGGGUAAUUGGUAUUUAGUAUUUUAAAUAAGUAUACGGUCACAAGACUUGUGGGCAACUAAACCCAUAGAAUGAACAAUUGUACAUCUUCCUAAAUCUGAGGGUGGUUUUAACUUUCCAUACUUGGGUGAUGAGUUGCUGCGAUUCCAAGGCUUUUACUAGCGACACCUAAAAUGCGCUAAAGAGGAACAAGGAGUACAUCGUGAAGAUCAUGCUCGUCCCCGGAAACUUUACGUGUCUAUUUUCAAAGGAUAAAGCUAAGAACAUUAACCCCCCCCCCCCCCACAGAGUCAAUGUCAAAUCCCCAUCAGUCUUCACAUAAUUUUUUUGCAUGGACUUCGUCUCAAUCCGCUGAUGGUGGCCUCCCGCGUUGGAAGGGGGCCGAGUUCCAGCGGUGUUUGUCAGACCAGAAGACAUCCCAAUUAAUUGGUGUUGUAGCGUCCGACAGGUUUGGCCAACACACUAAUAUAACCCCUCUGUGGAAAAGUGUGAGACUCACGAGCAAGUAGGUGUCAGUGUUCUGCUCUAGAGACGCCCACAAACCUCACAGGACUUGUCAAUGUAGCCCGGUACCAGUUUUGAAAAAUGGAAGUAGUUUAGUGCCAAUAAAGGGGUUAAAUAUGCAUUUUUUUAAAUCUAAAUUUCCUGAUCUUAUGUCUCCCAGAUAUUGGACAGACACUUAAAAAAAAAAAACGAUUUAUUUUUAUGUUUCUCCAUGUAUGCAUCUGUUAUUCAAUGUGUUUCUAUGGGCUAAUGGUAGUAAGGCCAAAUUCAAUGUUUCAUCAAAUAUAUAAUUUAACUGUUUAUAUCUAGACUCUUAAGGAUUGACAACUUAAUAGUAAAGAACACUAUAACAAUAUGGAAGAACAUUGAAGUAUUCUACAAGAUCCAAAAACACUCCCUAAAAUUAUAAGCCUUUAUGGAACAAUCCUUAGGAUAGCAUUUCCAGAAUUCACAGAUCACAGAAUUCACAUUUAUUUCCAUGACUGAUUUAAAAAGCCAUUUUGGACUGACCAAUGUAGAUAUUUUCAGAUACUUAAAUUUCAUAUCAAAAAAUGUCAAUCUGAAAUCUUGAGGGAAUCCUAUUUGAGUCAUAAAAUUAUGUUCAUAUAAGAUAUACAAAACCUUGCAGAGAGCCUAUCCAACUGACAAUCUCUUAGACAAAAAAUAUAUAAACUAUUGUAACCAAGACUUAAACUGAUAUUUGUUCAAGAUGGAGGGAAAGUUUGAGCAUAAUGAAAUAACAGUUAAUUAAAAUGUACACUUAAUCCAGUAUGAAGUCAUGUAUAGAAUUUAUUCUGCAAGAGACAAAAUACACAAAUUCUACUACAGCAAAAUGGCAGAGUCAUGUCUUUAGUGUAAAACUAACAAUGACUCCAUAAUCCAUGCCUUCUGGGAGUGUUAUGAUGUCAUAAAGUUAUGGGCGGAGUUAGAACGUUGGCUGUCAGAAGUAUCACAAUGUAAACUUUUAAUCCGUCUGUCUGCUUAUUUCAAGACGUAGCACAUGAGGGUGCAGUGAGAUACCCAAUGGGUUGGAUGAUUCUCUUCUCAUCAAUCAUCUUGGGGGGAAAAAACUAUACUUAACUGGAAAUCAACCAAUCCUCCAUUAACACAAUGGAAAGG
rnacentral:lncRNA from 13 species